UGGGGAAUUUUGGACAAUGGGCGAAAGCCUGAUCCAGCAAUGCCGCGUGUGUGAAGAAGGCCUUCGGGUUGUAAAGCACUUUUGUCCGGAAAGAAAUGGCUCUGGUUAAUACCUGGGGUCGAUGACGGUACCGGAAGAAUAAGGACCGGCUAACUACGUGCCAGCAGCCGCGGUAAUACGUAGGGUCCAAGCGUUAAUCGGAAUUACUGGGCGUAAAGCGUGCGCAGGCGGUUGUGCAAGACCGAUGUGAAAUCCCCGAGCUUAACUUGGGAAUUGCAUUGGUGACUGCACGGCUAGAGUGUGUCAGAGGGGGGUAGAAUUCCACGUGUAGCAGUGAAAUGCGUAGAGAUGUGGAGGAAUACCGAUGGGCGAAGGCAGCCCCCUGGGAUAACACUGACGCUCAUGCACGAAAGCGUGGGGAGCAAACAGGAUUAGAU
rnacentral:rRNA from 1 species